rnacentral:rRNA from 1 species
GGCUCAGAACGAACGCUGGCGGCAAGCUUAACACAUGCAAGUCGAACGGACCGUACGCGCAGCUUGCUGCGUGUAUGGUUAGUGGCAGACGGGUGAGUAAUGCAUAGGAAUCUGCCUAGUAGUAUAGGAUAGCCACUAGAAAUGGUGGGUAAUACUGUAUAAUCCCUGCGGGGGAAAGAUUUAUCGCUACUAGAUGAGCCUAUGUCAGAUUAGCUAGUUGGUGGGGUAAUGGCCCACCAAGGCUGUGAUCUGUAGCUGGUCUGAGAGGAUGAUCAGCCACACUGGAACUGAGACACGGUCCAGACUCCUACGGGAGGCAGCAGUGGGGAAUAUUGGACAAUGGGCGCAAGCCUGAUCCAGCUAUGCCGCGUGAGUGAGGAAGGCCUUAGGGUUGUAAAACUCUUUCAGUAGGGAAGAUAAUGACGGUACCUACAGAAGAAGUCCCGGCAAACUCCGUGCCAGCAGCCGCGGUAAUACGGAGGGGGCAAGCGUUGUUCGGAAUUAUUGGGCGUAAAGGGCAUGUAGGCGGUUUGGUAAGUUAAAGGUGAAAUACCAGGGCUUAACCCUGGGGCUGCUUUUAAUACUGCAGGACUAGAGUCCGGAAGAGGAUAGCGGAAUUCCUA